ACCAGGCUGUGUACUUGUUUUAAAAAAUAGCUUACUCAGAAUGCCAUUUCUUAAGACAGAGAGCCGUCUUCUUCUAGAGGUGUUAUUUUUUGAGGUAGUUUUAUUCCAUUUUAAAAAUGAAAAAAAAAAAUCUGCUUGGGUGAAGAUAACUCAAAGAAACUGAUUAAAUAGGAACUGUCAGGGGACACAUUCCGUCAAGAGUGUCCCGCCUCUAAGGGACUGAAGCAAAGUCAGUCAGCUGCUCUCCAGCCACAGUGAGUCACAGAAGUAAUUUCUUUUCUGCGAAACUUUUAAAGUUCUGAGUUUAAUUGCAAGCAGUAAGUAGGGUUUUUAUUAUAACAGAGUUUCCUGUUAAUUAUUACAUGAUGUACAUUAUUUUACAACAUUUUCCUUUAAGAAUCUUUUUUUCUCUUUUUUUAAAAAAAACUUACAAUUAUGAAUUUUUAAGACCUUAAAAAAAGUUACUGUGGCAGCUUGUCAGGUUCUGUGAAACAAAGCCUUGUCUUUCAGAAAAUGUUUACAAUCUAUGAAGGGGAAAAAAGUAUCCUGGGGCUAAAAUGUUUACUGGCACCUGGAAGUCUGAAGAGAGAGUCCGGCCUGUGGUUUCUGGAGGGCACUUUAUCAUGGCCUGUGUUCCCAAAGGUUUCUCUGAAUGAACAGAACUGGAUUACUCAGCCUUCUAUUCCACGCCUAUUCCUCUCCAUUUUCUUUGGCACGACGGAGAGCCAGGCUAUUUUUAGUUAAGCAGUUUUCUAUUUUUAGACAACUGCCAGUUAGAAGACAUUUGUUAGGAAAAAAAAUUUAAACACACACACACACACACACACACACACACACACACACACACACACACACACACGGAGGACGGAACGGAGCCUCUCCCCACGUACUGAGAAGCAGGCCUUCAACCUGCAACUGCAGGCAUUUCAGCUGCUUUCAAUCUUGGAAAAAUAAAGAAAAAUUCAGAGUUCAGGGUUUUAAAAAUAAACCUACCCUCUGGCUAACAGACCAUAAUACAACAAGCUGUUACUAUGUGAAGCAGUGACUAUAGAAACAAAGAACAUUCUCCAAUGAUUAAACUAAGAGAAAAAGUUGAAGAGCGAUUAGGUUAUAGGAAUGUUGCACAAGUAUGUAACACUUUUCCAGCCCUUCAGCCAAAGGAUCCUGUUUUAGAAUUACGGGGUGGAGGGACUCCUCUGUCAAGUUAACAAGGGUGUGGGGUACAACGGCAAAGCUGAACUUUUUCAUCAAACUUGAGGCAGAUACACACUGUAGUUUGCUAAUGUAGUCUAUGAUAUUUUUCUGAAAUUAUAACCACCUGUUUAUAGAGAAAUUCUAUAUUUAAAAAUUUAACCCAAUGGGAAAUCAGACCCUGACAUAUCCAUAGCAUAGAUAAACAUAGUCUAUAAAUACAUUUUAGGUCUCUACGUCACUGCAUUUAUAUAUUCAUUUAAUAGUUAAAUGUAUAUUGAAUGUCUGUAAAUCAUUAGUCUCACUUUUACUUUAAAUGGGAAUAAAUGACUUGCAGACCUGUUUAGCACAUCAACUUAUCAGUCUACUUAUCAUUCAAGGUCACACUUUCGUCUAAAAUCUACCAUGAGGGGCUGGAAAGAUGGCUCAGCCGGCAGUUAAGAGCAUAGACUGCUUUUGUGGGACUCACUUUUGGUUUCCAGCAGCCACAUCUGGUGGCUCAGAACUUCCUGGAACUCCAGCUCCAGGGGAUCCAUCGCAUGCAAAUAUCACCACUCCAUAAACACACGAUUGAAAAACAGAACCCUUUACUCUUUCUUCACUCUGACACCCCUUGGGGUGCUCCCAGUGGUCAUUUUCUCCCCCUUAGCCUACUCCACUGGUAGUCAUGGUCACUUCAGUUCAGGUCACCGGGCUUUACCGUGGUCACGAUCGCGUCUCCAGCAGCCAGCAACACGCUUGGCAUGUGGACUUCACCUUCACCAUUAUCUGCUGAGCGAAACAGCAAACACUGUGUAUGUUUUGUCCACACUAGACUAUCCGUUCUGGGGUGGGGACAGUGAACAUGUCACAGUCAUUUUAUUUCCCAGGACACUUAGCACCACAUCUUACACAUUUAUUUUCUAAAUACUUGGGGGAAAAAAAUAAACAAUACAUUGACUUUUGUUUAAAUUUUUAUUUUUUUUGUGUGUGAAAGGUUAGCUCUUUAUACUAAUGUAUUAUUAGUAUAAAAUAUUAUAUAUCUUCAAGUUAAGAACUUCUUGUUUGCUAUCUUUUUUUUUUUAUUUCCUGAACUUUCUCCUUGGCUUUCAAAGUACAACCAAUUUUUACAACUGAACAGUUUACAACAGGCUCUGACAUCUUUUAUAACUCAUAAUCCAAAUUACAGGCCCGGGGAGAACUCUAUGGAAACAGUACUCAAGGGAGGGGCCUGCAGCCUAGAAGUUAUGGUAUUGUCUCCAGUCAACAAUGUUUUGGGGUGCUGGGGAUCAAACUCACGACCUGCCACCUCAACUAUGUCCCUCUGAAGUGGCUGAAUUUCAGGGUAACAUGAAACAUGCUGGGAACACCAGUGAGAUGUAACAGGAUAAUGUGGCAGACUGUCUUAAGGAUUCUUAUGACCACAAGGACAAUGAAAACAAAGGGAGAGGGGCUACCUGUCCUCCUGAAUCACCCCAACCAAUCACAUUACACUUCUCCAGCUAGUUUGGACUUGGACCCAGAAACCUCCUCACCCGCUCUAGGAAGGCUCUACCAAACGACUGCUCACAGAGGAAGGGAGCAUAGAGCAAUGCCUAAAUGUCCUGCUUACCCUAAGUAUGGCUUCCCUGCUGAGUCAUAAUGGGCAUUAACAAGGGCACUGCCUGAAAAAGCCAACUCUGUUGCUUGCAAGAAUUAGUUCUGUUGAUUACCAGUUUAAAGAAAUAUUACUGAUACUAUGCUAAGAUUCUAUUUUAUAAUGUGACUGUAACCAGGAAAAGUACAAAAGAAGAAAUUUUGCACAGUUAAACUUUCAAACUCCAUUCAGAAGACAAGAAGUGUUCACGAAGAUCAGCAUCAACUGGAAGCAUGUUAAAAAUACACAGUCCAAUGUCACACUUAGACCCAUCCCAUUGGAAUCAACCUUUUAGGAAGACACUUCCAGUAACACAAGACUGGGCCAGAAGCAAUCUGACCCAUUGAUCCUUCUUGCUCCAUCCAGGUGAAGGCCCUGAAGUUUAUCCUUCCCUAGGAAUCAACAGACCUUGGCCUAGAAGCCAUUUCGUUUUCCUUGCUGGAGCUGGAAACAAUAUUUCUCCUAGGUUUCCUCUAUCUUUUAAGUUUUAAUGUGUAUCUGUAUGGGUGUCUGUUUCGUGAAUAAGCGCACGCCUGUGUGUAAGGGCACAUGUGCACAAUGCACCUGUGACGGCUACAAAGAAAUUUUGGCUCUUGUUUCUCAAAAUCCGGCUUGUUUUUGGACAGGGUUUUACACUGGGAUUUGAAUCUCGCUGACUAACGGAGCUGGUUUGACCUCUGCACUGUGGGCAUUUACCCAUGUGCUAGGGAUUGAAUUCAGGUACUCACUCUUGCACAGAGAACAUUUUACUGACCGGGCCAUCUUCCCAGCCCAGAUUUUGUUUUCUGAUGGAACAACAACUUUCAUUCAUCUCUAGUCCAC